AGCGGCGAACGGGUGAGUAACACGUGGGCAACCUGCCCUACACUCUGGGAUAAGCCCGGGAAACUGGGUCUAAUACCGGAUACGACUCCGCAUCGCAUGGUGUGGGGUGGAAAGUUCCGGCGGUGUAGGAUGGGCCCGCGGCCUAUCAGCUUGUUGGUGGGGUAGUGGCCUACCAAGGCGACGACGGGUAGCCGGCCUGAGAGGGCGACCGGCCACACUGGGACUGAGACACGGCCCAG
rnacentral:rRNA from 1 species